rnacentral:misc_RNA from 1 species
GAUGAAGAACGCAGCGAAAUGCGAUAAGUAAUGUGAAUUGCAGAAUUCAGUGAAUCAUCGAAUCUUUGAACGCACAUUGCGCCCGCCAGUAUUCUGGCGGGCAUGCCUGUUCGAGCGUCAUUACAACCCUCAGGCCCCCGGGCUUGGCGUUGGGGAUCGGCGGAGCCCCCCGUGGGCACACGCCGUCCCCCAAAUACAGUGGCGGUCCCGCCGCAGCUUCCAUCGCGUAAUAGCUAACACCUCGCGACUGGAGAGCGGCGCGGCCACGCCGUAAAACACCCAACUCUUCUGAAGUUGACCUCGAAUCAGGUAGGAAUACCCGCUGAACUUAAGCAUAUCAAUAAGCGGAGGA